AGGUGGGUUGGUACCACCGAAAACAUCGAGAGACACCUUUGUGAAAACUUUGGGCUUUAGAUAUGUGGGAAGAUAGCAGAGGGCUUGGGCUGUGAGUUCCAGAGUCAGAUAAGAGUCACACCUUGCUGAAGACUAAGCCAUCUCUCCAGCCCAGAAAUGUUCUGAAUGGUAGAGUGACCUUGAGCUCAGUGUUGCCCAUUGACAUGCAAAUAAUGGAUGGGAAUUAUAACAGUGCACUACUUAACCCACUGAACUUGCUGUCUCACAAAGCCCUUACUGCCAGGCAGUGAAGUUCCUCCUGCUGCAACCUGGCUUGACAAAUGAGGACCCAGAAAAGUAAAGAAGUCUUCUUGAAGGUGACUUGGCUGUCAGACGACAGACCUUCUACAACCACACUGACCUAUCUGUGUCAUCUUGUAUGUUCCUGGCAUGAUGCCUGUAUACCAGGAUCUCUGCUACUAAAGGAACAAGUAGAUGGACUUGGAAGAAAAGGAUGACCAAUUAGAUCUCUGAAAAGUCUACAUUUUUUUGUUUCUUACAUCAGUUGAUUAGGGAACAGAGGGGUAGCCUUAGACUUAUGAGAACCAACCUCCUGAUUGUUCCUUGGUCAGAGUGGGUUAGAUAAAGUGAGAAAUGGAGAGGGAACCCAAGAUAAGCACUCUGUACAAGAGCCCCUGUCACAGGACCAUGGGCAUAGUGACACUGCUGCCACCACAGGGGAACUGUGUGAAGGGGGACACUGAGUUACUUUAUUUGGUCAAAGGCUUUUCAACCUGAAGUCUAAGGUUACAAGGAUUUGUGUAGCUGAACCACAACAGAGCUACUACAUCUUGGAGCAGAAGUCUGUGGAAAUGACCCUUGGAACAUUAUUCCAUCUACUUUGCUGAUUUCAUUGUCCUGGAAUUGCUGAAGAGAUUGAAGGAAGGUCUAGAUUCUUAGAUAGGAUUCAGAAGUGUUGGGUGGUACUUGAGCAGUCCCAAGAGGGGUUGGCUCUAUUAGAGAGCGUGGUCUCCUAAGAGAGAGUACUUGGUGAACUCCCAAAGUGGGGGUUACUGUGGUGACAAUAGGUGGUGGAAUCUCACACCUAAGAGAAGUUUAAGAGUCAGAGGUAACUUUUGGUUAAAUAUGGCUUCUCUCACACAGUGGUCGAGGUCAUCAGGGAAUCUCAUCUACAGUGUUUGAAGAUCGAAGACUACAGAAGUCUUUCUCUUUGAAAAACAGUGGCACUUGUGUGCUUAUGUCACUGCUUCCAAGUUCAUGUGAUUUGUCAUUGGCGCUCACCAUCUUUAUUGAUAGAAGCUAUACUGUUGUGUGGCUGUGGCGGUGCCCCUGGAAGUAGAGUAGUCAAUAAUAUUCUGUAGUAGGCAAAAAGCUGGUCCAAGCCAAAAAAAAAAUGUCCCAAUUUGAUUCACACCAAAAUGUUCAGGAUUACUAAUCUCUUCUUUGGGAUGGCCAAAGUUUCCUGCCUAAUUUUAUCAAUGACUUACUUAGAGUUGAAGGCUUGAAUAUGACUUGGUAAAUGACAAGAUUAGAAGAGGAAAUAAAAGACCAGGAAUUAAUUUUUUUAGAUUGAUUGAUUUUAUGUCUAUAAGUGUUUUGCCUUCUCUCUCUCUCUCUCUCUCUCUCUCUCUCUCUCUCUCUCUCACACACACACACACACAUACACACACACACACACAAACACACACAAACACACACACACCACCCCUACCAUCUGAGAUCUGUUUGCCUGGUAUUCAUGAAGGUCAGAAGAAGGGAUCAGAUUCCCUGGGACUGGAGUUACAAAACUGUUAUGAACCAGGCUGCUUAGGAAUCAAACUCAGGUCCUCUGCAAGAAGAACAGGUGCUCUUAACCCCCGAGCCAUCUCUCUAGCCCGGGUUUUCUAAUUUUAGAUGCCUCUUGUAUCUCUCCAACACCUUCAUCUUUAAUACAAGUACUUCCUAAGGCAGAUAUUGAUGAUUGCAGCACUGUUUAGCGGUAAGCUGCCUACUGAUGUGAUAUUUAGAAAAUUCCUUAUAUGGUACCCUUCAAAUUACUGUUGAAAUACCUACAUUUAAAAACCAAACACUGAAAUGCAUGGCAUUUCCUUACAGUCACACAGCAUGUGAAUAGCACAGCCAGGGUAGCACUCAGAGGAGUGAUGCUGGAAUCAUGAACUGAUGUCACCCGUCAAUCUUGUACAACAUUCCUUUAGGAAGAGGGGAGGGGGCUCACAAAGCCCUACCACUCCCUGAGCGAUAAUGGCUGCCGAUGGGGCUGCCAGUUUCUUCAGUGGCGUAACCACUGCUCAGUUGACUGUGCUUUAGUAGUCAGCCCCUCAUCCAGGCUCAUAGGACACAGUAAUGAAGUCAGUCUUCCCAUACCUGAACACAAGAGACCCAAGAGUGGGAAUAUGAACUAGUUGGGAUAUAUGAACUAGUUGGGAAGAAAGGGGGUUAACAGCAGUGGGAAGGAGUAGGCUACAGUAGUGGAGGGAUCAAUAUGACCAUUGUCUACUGUGUACAUCUAUGAAAUUG
rnacentral:lncRNA from 1 species